AAUCGGCGUACAUCACCGGGAACGUGUUCCCACCGAGGUGCCGAGAGGGAUGAGCCUCGGCAACAGCGGCGAAAGCCGGAAAGCCGGAACAUCAAGGGAACGAGUAGGGUUUGGUAGGCGUAAGCUCGAAGAACCCGGACUCA
rnacentral:ncRNA from 1 species